ACAUUUUUCUUGUAAAAAAGGGGGGCCUGGCAACAAAAGUUUGGGAACCACUGCACUACGGCAUGUGACGUAUUUCCGUUUCCAAAUACUACCGCUUGGGCGUUUCCGGUAUGUUUGUUUAUCUAUCGGUAGCUACGCUAAUGUCACUUCAGAAUGAGUAUAAAAAGGAAAGUAUUUAAAACAGAACAUUUUCAAAAACAGGAGAAGAAAUACUCCGAGCAUUGCUGUGUCCCACUUUGUUCGGCUUCAGCCAAAUUUAACGGCAUGCUAAGUUUUCAUGGCUUUCCGACCCAUUCCGACUUGAGAAGACAAUGGCUGGUAAACAUACGCCGGGAUCAUUUCACGAUUACCUCUCACACCAGGGUCUGCAGCAGACACUUUGCCAGUGAUCAACUCAUAGAGCCAACAACCCUUGAUGGUCGAAGGCGGCUUAUUAAAGGUGCUGUACCAACACUUUUUGAGUGGAUUGGCUUUAAAGUUGAACCACCGCGGCGUAGUGUUUGGGAGAGAACGGAGCGACGCCCUGAACUAGUUCCUCCUGACGAUCAAGAAGAGCACAGUCUUACAAGAGAUCAUGACUACUGCUCAGUCCCUGAGCCGUCUGCAUUGGACAUAAUCUGCAUCAGCUGCAGAAGACCUGUCCAAAGACGUGGAGACUCUGAGGAAGGAAAUACAGGAGUUACGUGUCCAGCGAGAAUUUGGGUUACAGCGUUUUGCUGGCUCUGACACUGACAUCCGAUUCUACACCAGAUUUCCAAGCUAUGAUCAUUUGAUGGCAUUUUGGUUUUUGAUUGAGCCUUGCAUCUACAAAAUGAUCCGGGUUUCAAGAGCCAAGUCAGCUGCCAAUAGGAACGAAGAAGUGCUGACACCUGCACGCACAUCAAUGAGGCAGCUGCUACAGCCAAUUGACGAGUUCUUUCUUUUCCUGGUUUUCCUGUCAGUUGGUUUGAAGGAGAGGGACCUGGCCUGGCACACCGAUUUAACAUACACCAGUCCACAGUGAGCCGCAUUAUCGCAACAUGGACAAAUUUUCUUGCCACAGCACUGGAGUCUCAAUGCAUCUGGCUUACACGUGAAGAAGUGCAAGCUUACCUCCCUGAGGAAUUCAAAGAUUUCUCA